GACGAACGCUGGCGGCGUGCUUAACACAUGCAAGUCGAACGGAAAGGCCCUGCUUUUGUGGGGUGCUCGAGUGGCGAACGGGUGAGUAUAACUGGUGGAUCCGCCCCUUACUUUUGGGGAACAUCAGGGAAGAGGGGGGAAUAACCGGCAGGAACUCCCUCUGCCUUGUUGGGGGUGGAAAGAUUGGGCGGUUGGGGAUUGACUCUCGGCUUAUCCGCUUGUUGGUGGGGUGGUGGCUUACCAAGGCUUUGACGGGUAGCCGGCCUGAGAGGGUGACCGGCCACAUUGGGACUGAGGUACGGCCCAGACUCCUACGGGAGGCAGCAGUGGGGAAUAUUGCACAAUGGGCGGAAGCCUGAUGCAGCAACGCCGCGUGCGGGAUGACGGCCUUCGGGUUGUAAACCGCUUUCGCCUGUGACGAAGCGUGAGUGACGGUAAUGGGUAAAGAAGCACCGGCUAACUACGUG
rnacentral:rRNA from 1 species